GUGACGGAAGCUUCGACCAAGCCAACCAGAGCUCGCGAGCCCCUUGCCACAGAGGCCGGCGGGAUGGAGAUAGGGUCCGGCUGCGGGCGUUUGGGAGGGGCAGAGAUUGAGGAGCCAGUUGCUGUGCUCUGUUCUGGCAAAAGAACAAGAUGGGUUGCAAGCCAGAAUGAUGAAUUCCACUUUUAACGUCGUCUCCGUGGCAUUCUGCCUAAAUGAUGGGCAUGGAAGUGGUGCUGAGGGAUGUGGGCUGAAUCGAGAACACAGGGACUUUUGUCUUCAGGGUCCCUAGAUGUUGAGAAGCUCUGGACUGAAGCUGUCACAAAAUAACUUGCAUCAAGAGCUGCUAAAGGAUUUCUCUUCAUCAUUUAAGUGCAAUCUAGCAGCAACUACUACAUCUGAUAAACUGCAAAACACAGAAUAUAGGAUUCUUGAAGCUACUGUCAGGGCUGGCGGAGAACUCAAUGCCAAGUGAAGCAUGAUACAGCACUUCCUGCAAGUAACUCAAUUCUCUUGGACCAGAGCACCUCAGACACCAGGGUGACCUCAACCUAAAAGCAUAUGGAAUGACAUCCUGCCACCCAACCUGCUCUCCUCCCUUCCUCCCUGUCCCUCGAUGGACCACACUCAGCUCCCUUCCAUCACGAUGCUCCUGCUUCUCCUCCUGCCUGAAAUGCUCCGAGACACGGUGAGGUCAUUAGAAACCAGGCAGAUCUAGAUCUACCUAGAAAAUAGUUCUGAACAUACAUCCCACCUCUUCUGCUUCCCAGCCUGGGGAUCCUGAGGUAUUAAUAUAAGCUCGCUGCUUCAUUUUCUGUCUCUGUAAUAUCAGAGUACCUAUUUUAAUAACAUGUUAUAGGGAUAAAUGGAGUAAUGCAGGCAAAAUGCCUGGCACAGUGCACAGUCUGUAGCAGGCAGUCAAUAAGUGUUCACUCCAUUCCCACCGUACAUGUUAAUGUCUUUAUGUCUAGACAAAUAUUACAUAUGCCUCGGGGUGCAAUUCCAGUCUCAUCUCAUUAAAGAACCUCCAGUUAUCAUCUCCCAUUCUGAAGUCCUACUUAGCUUAAUAGCUUUACCACGAACUCAGGCACAUCAACCACCAUUGUUACUCAUCUAUUCUGACACAGAUGUCUUGUUUGGCUAAUUCAAUAAAUGUUUCCAAAGGGGACAGCUGGUGUCAAUGACAAUUCUGUCUUAUCACUCCAACUUCCUACUGUAUCUAUCUAUCAUUGUUAUAGAUGCCCAAUAUAUUUGUGUGAGUAAAGGAGUCAGUGAAAAAAUCCCAGUGCAAGGGUAAAAGGCCAGUUAUAGGUAUAAUCCCUACUGGAUUAUAAUUUUGUUGACUUCUUUACAAAUUUGUAAUCCAGUAGGGAUUGAGCAUCCACAUUUUUGAAGCAGAUCAGUGGUGGUUAGCAUAGAAGAGAGUACAGUGGAGUAAAGAUGCUGAAGGUGAAAAAGAAGAUGAAGAGAAAGGCAAUGUUGCAAGAGAGGCCAGUUGGGAGGUUAAGUGGGCUUCAUGGAGGUAUUACAGAUUCUGAGUUAGACAGGAGGUUGACAAGCAUUACCACCUGAGCUCCGCCUCUUGUCAGAUCAGCAGAGCCAUUAGAUUCUCAUAGGAGUGGGAACCCUAUUGUGAACUGCGCAUGCAGGGUGUCUAGGUUACGUAAUCCUUAUGAGACUCUAAUGCCUGAUGAUCUGAGGUGGAACAAUUUCAUCCCCAAACUAUCCCCCCACCACCUUCUAUGACAUUGGUCUCUGAUGCCAAAAACGCUGGGGAUGCUGCUGCCCUAUAUGGUGAAGAAGAUAUUUAGCUGUCCGCCAAAACAUAUUCUCUGUUACUUUCACUAUCAUAGAGCUAUGGCUGGGUACAUGGUCAUCUUGCCAGGGCCUCCAUUUCCAACCAUCCUUGCUAUAAGAGGUGGCUGUUGGACACAGUCUUCACCAGUAGGUUGUGAGUGGAAGUGAUGUGUGCAGUCCCUAAGGUGGGACCCUUUAAGGUAGUGAAUGGGCCUCUCCCACAUUUUCUCCUUUCCUUUACGGCUGGUUGGGACCUGGCUGUAUCAGUGACCCAGCCUUGACUAUGCAAUUCUAAGGCCCUAGAGCCUGAAGAAUGGCAGAACCACCACAAUAUGGAAGGAAUAUGGGCCUUGAAUGACUGCAGAACACCCCCGACAUCCUGUGAUGAGACAGGAGUAAGCUUUUUGCUCACUGGUUUCGGCCAUAUGGUUAAAAGCCAUAUCGUUGUUGGGUCUCUUGUUAUAGCUUAGCUGCUACAACCUGAUUGACACAUUAUAUUUGUACCUAUGGAAUAUAUCUCUUAGAAUUUUUAAAUAUAAAAGAUAAUAGUGUAAAAAACAGUAUAGCAAGCUUUUUUGUUCCUACUAAGUAAUAUGUUUUGAAGAUUUUUUCAAGUCAUGUGUGUAUGUCUUGGAUAUAGAUGAUAGAUAGAUACAGUAAUUCUACCUCAUUUCUAAAUAUGCAGUAUUUCACAGUAUCAAUGAACCAUAGUUCAUGUAACCAAGUAUUAAUACUACUGACAUGAACAUCCAUGUACAUGCCACUGUUCACAUGCACAAGUAUUUCUCUAGAAUAAAUAUCUAGAAAUGGAAUGGUUGAGUUGAACCGUUGUGAACCUUUAAGAAUUUAAUAUAUAUUUACAAAUUGUCCUCCAAAAAGCCUAAAUCAAUUUAUAUUCCAUAAAUCUAUUUAUUUGUUUGGUGUCUGUCUCCUCUCUCUCUCCCUGGAAUAUAAGCUCCUUGAUGGCAGGAACCUUGUGUUGCCUUUACACAUUACCAUGCAAUAUGAUGGUGCAUGGUUCCCUAAAACACUGUCAGUAUUAGAAAACUUUAAAUUUCAUUCAGCUAAUAGGAAAAAUAGAGAGAAGAAAUUAAUACAGAAAGAAUGGGGAAAAAAACUAGAAAAAUGAAAGUAGCUGGAAUCUACUACUAACGGAAACCAUCAAUGCUCAUGCUUCAUGAAAUUCUGAGUCAUGUGGGUUCUUCAGACCAGCACAAUAAUUUUCAGUCCUAACCCUGCAAUUCCUAACAUCCCAUUGCUUUCUUUCUGACUUCCUCCCACACCAGCCAGGUACACUACAAGCUAUUCUCUUCACUAUGAUCAUUAUACUAUGAGAUUACAGCUUGCCUAUACUUUUCAGGUGACCAUGUGACCUCAGGUGAUCCUGAGGAUGAACUGUAGUGCAUCAGUGAGUUUGACUGCACUGUCUCCAUAGCAGAAGGCCCACUGCAGCUGCAAGGGACAAGCAAUCCUUAAUGCCUGUGUAUUCCUCUAGUGCUUUUUUGGCACAAACAGAAGAAUAAAACUUCCUCAUCAUUCCCUACUCUAAUAGUUAUGUGUGCAAUAUUCAUUCACCAAUGCAUGCUUUUGCACUGAGUCCGUAAAUAGAACUUUAUUGGUGAAUUAUUGACAGAAAAGAAUAUCUGGAAUAUAAACAGGCCUGAGAUAACUACAGAAUGAUUAUGGGGAAGAGAAAGAAAAGGUGAGACAGGCAUUAUGUAAAGGGAAAAACAGCAUGGGUUUACUUGGGUCCAGUCCCAGAUCUUCCCAGUUAUUGUGUGAUUUUGCAAAAGAUACUGAAUCUUGUUAAGUCUCAGGUUUUCUGUCUUUUAGAGAAGACAUACUCAUUGAGUGCCUCCCAUGUUCCAGCCUGCAUUCUAGGUGUUUGGGAUACAGCAGAAGGCAAACAAGGUUCCUGCCAUGAGGGAGCUUAUAUUCCAGGGAAAGAGGGAAGACAGACACCAAGCAAACAGACAGAUUUAUUCAGGUAUUCAAGAAAUAGUUACUGCCUUCCUACUUUGUGCCAAAGAUGGCUCCAGAAGUUUUAUUUUGUUUUUAAGAAAUUGCCUUCCAGGACUGUUUUAAGAAUUAUAUCUAAUAUACUGAAGAGCUCUGACAGAGUUCAAAAUGUGUAGUAUACACUCAGUAAAUGGCAGCUAUUAUUAUCAUUUUCUUCUGUGUCUGUUCUCCCUCUCCUUUCAAGAAAUAUUUUAUUUUCUGUAUGUGCUUGCUUAUGUGUUUAUUGGCCUAUUUGUUUAUUCAUUACUGCUCUAGCUAUAGUUUAGUAUUUUGUCUUUGCAUCUUGUUUCUGGCAGCCUUUGCUUAUUUAGAAUGACAGGUAGAGCCACAGUUAAAACUUGGUCUGCAACUGCAUUCGGACUUCUUGAAACUGGGAGGCAAACUAUAGAAAAGAAUGGAUAUCCAGACUCCUUCAUCAACUCUUCCUCAACAUGCAGCAGGGUCUUUAAGCAGCAUCUUAGUUUCUAGUGUUGCAGAGUGGUUUGACGGGUGGUCCUGGCUGGAGAUAUUGUUUUGGCAGAUAAUGAUCUAGCAGAGGAACACGGAAGAUGGAGACAUGAAAGGACAGGCAGGGAAUGGCUGAGAGAAUAGGCAGCCUCAUGGAGUUAGAGAAAGCAGAAUCAGAGAUGACCAUGGUGCCCACUCUUACCCAUUCCCACCCAAUUCUCCCAGUCAAGUCUAAUGAGAUGUUUUUUCUGACCUUCCCAACCUCAGGUCUGGAGUUAAGCCCACAAGGUGUUUCCAGAGCCCAUGCCAUAGAUCUUACCAUACUCCAGGACAUGUGGAGACCCUUCCUGGUACUUAUCAUACUGUAUGGCAGUUGCCUGAUACUCAUCUUGAUGCCUCUCCUGCUAUCAGCAAUUUAAAGGCAGUAGUGUUGUCUUCACUACUGCACCUUCUAUGUCAAAGACAGAACCUCAUGUAUGUUAGGCCCUCAAUAAAUGCCCAUUACAUGAAUGAAAGAAGGCAGAGACGGAGGAAGAAAGCAGAAAAGUUAACAGAAUAAAGGUAUUGAGGUAAGGCACAAGUAGAAAAUGAAUGUGCAGAAGGAGUGGAAAAGCAACUUUGACUUUCAAAUAGUAACCCUCCUUCAGCAGUACCACUUGGACAAAAAGGCCAGACAGAAACUCAGACCAGGAUAGGGCCACAGACAAGAACCUGGACUGGGAUGCCCUUUUCUAUCUGAGAAAAUGAAAUUGGACUUUUGUCCUCUAAAAUCCACAUCUGUCUCUUCACCUAGUUGAUGCUGAUGAUGGCAAUGAGUCAGGUAGAUCACACCUUAUCUAUAGAAUGUUCUUCAGCUCCAUGAAGUAGUCUUAAUGUUUGGGGCCAAAGAUCUAGAAAUCUUCUGUUGGUCUAGCCUCCCUCAUUUUCUAGUAUGUAUGUCAAAAUCUUCAAAUAGACUAUCUCAACUGAUAAUAGUAUUUUUCCCUUUUAAGCACCUUUUUGCAACUAGCUCAAAUUUAAAUGAUAAAGAAAAAUUGACGGCAUCCUCUUUACUAUCUUAUUAAACCAUACUUCUAUUAAUGAUGAUUCACUGAAGGGCCAUGAAUAGCUACACUGAAAAAUUCUGUAGCAUAUUAAUGUGCUGAGCAUCAUACCACACUUAGCUCCUGAUAUAAUUUUAAGUUCCCUCUGGGGGGAAAAACAGUUUCUCUGGAUUCUUUUUAUAAAAAGCACCUUGAAAAAGCUUUCAGAUACUCAAAGACAUGAAUCUUGUUCUGUUCCCUUGUGUAUAUCUGAUUUAAAGGUUAAUAAGUAAUUAGGAAGAACACUCAUCCAAAAAUUACCAAUUAAUAUGCCAUCAUUUUCAUUAAAAAUGCUAUUAAUUAUAUUGUUGUACAAAUGUCUUGGACUGGCUAAUAAAAA